rnacentral:rRNA from 1 species
UUGGCUUCGAAAUGGGGGGUCUUACACCCCCAUCCGACAUUUGUAGUGAGAGUUGUGCCAUUACCGCAUUAUGAGGUCGAAUCCGGUUUUCUUAUCAAGGCUUAGGUUAAAGCCCUUUCUUAAUUUCUGGUUUGCUUUCAUGCUUGUAUAUGUUUAUAAAACCCUAUUGGGGUUGUGAAUUGGUGUUGUUUAUGGCUCGGUAUGGUUUCUUGUUUUAUGCUAUUGUGAGCCUAUGGAACGGCUCUUGACAUGAAAUGCUUAUAUGUGUGUUGUUGGGUUGUGAUUGAAGAAAAAUAAUGAAGCCUUAUGGCUGGAAAAUUUGGUAAACACAAAGGGCAUGCUGCCCGAAUUUUUACUCGAGAUUUAGAAAACUAUAUUCUCGACUUGAGUAAAGGUUAAGUAUUUAACACUUGAAUUUCCAUGCAUGAAACCCUAUUGGGCGAUAAUUGGUUUGACUUUAUGACUCGUUAUCGAGUCUUAUGGUAUUUGUUUACAUGCUCUAGGGCGUGACGAUAGCUCACGACGUCUUGGUGAUCGUGGUGCAUGAAAUACCACUUUCUUGCUUGGUGAGUAUACUACUCACUUACUUGUUAUAAUGUGGCUUUGUGCUAUGUGUAUUGAUGCCUUGAAGGCUUAAUUGGUUAUUGGAAAUGAUUGAGGUGAGGGUGUACUUGACCGCCCUCACCCCUUGUGAUUCCAUGCAUGGCUAGUGCUUGCAUUACUGAAUUACUGCACUUGAUAUAUGAAAUACUGAAUUCCAUUCAUGGAAACUGAUUUGGUAUCAUUUGGGCGAAUGUCCAAUGGCUUUACUGUAUCACUGAGCUCAACCCCGUUUGGUAGUCAAUUGGAUCGAGCCGGCGAGGGCUUGGUCGUGAAAAUUGUCAUGCCACGGGGACUGUACUGUGGAAUCUUGUGGUAAUGAGACCUUUGGUUCCGGUAUACUCGAGUAUUACCAAAAUGACUGAAUGGAGUGCGGGCCCGGUUGGGGUAUGAUAGUUGGACGGUUGGAUGUAAGUGAUGUCUACGGAUGGUUACUUUUCAUUGACGGAGGGUCAAUGAGGUUGGAUCAAGAUUGCAAGCGUGGAAAUGGGCUCUUGAGAGCCGACCGUAUCCUUUUCCGUUUUGUUUUACUGCUUAUUUGUGCACUUUAAAUGAAAGUUCAUCCUUAUGUGACUUUGGUUGCUUAUGUAGUAGUAUACCACUGGGCUUUAGCUCAUUCCGUGUUAUUUGUUUUCCUUACAGGGAUAUAAUUACUUUUGAGAAUGGAUUGGAUAGUCACUUGCCAAGUUGAGCUUAUAAAUGUCUUUUGUAUAGCUCUUGAAAUGAAGCCUUAAUGUGUAACGGGUUCAUUUCCUUUUGAUAGGCAAACUGAAUAUGUACUUCCUUUAUGAAUGUCUGUGGCAUGCCACUAUGGUUGUAAAUGUUGGAUUUCAAUGUGUAUAUUCUACUAUCCAGGCCACUAUUCAGUUUUCCAUUUUUUUUUAUUUUGCUAUUUCGAUACUUAUGGCUUGUCCGAGCGCACUUUUGUUUUUCUCGAAACGUAUUCGAACGCGUGUAACUGUACCGUAGUCCUGGCGAGAGCUGGGCAGGCAGUCCGCUAACCCCUUUGGUUCGCCUUAGGGAAAGGUGGGGCUGUCACACAUACUCCCAGAAAAAGCUCAAAGGACUGUAAACAAAAAGUUUCCUAUACCCAAAAUUGACACAAGUCGAUAGGUAGAGAAUACCUUGGGCAUGAGACAACUUUCUCUAAGAAACUCAGCAAAAUAGCUCCGUAAUUUUGGGAAAAUGGAUGCUUUCUCACAAAAGGGCUCGCAGUAACCAGGCACGAACAAUUGUUUACCAAAAACAUGUCUCUGUAAAGCCAUAAUACCAUGUAUGGGGGCUAACUCCUACCCAUUGCUAAAAGAUCAAGAAAGUUGGUGACUCGAUAAUAGGAGAGUUGGUGACCAAAGCCCCGGUGAACGGUGGCCGUAACUAUAAUGAUUCCAAGGUAGCAAAAUUCAUUGUCGAGUAAGUUUCGACCUGCAUGAAAGAUGUAAUGAUCUAGGCACUAUUUAAAAAGAAGAUUGGUGAAAUAGACAUGUCUAUGAAGAUGCGGACUACCUCCACUUAGAUAGAAAGACCUUAUGAAACUUCACUGUUUCCUGGGAUUGGCUUUGGCCCUUCCCUGCGCAAUUUAGGUGGAAGACGAAGAAAGUCACCUUUUGAGGGGCCCGAGCCAUCAGUGAUAUACCACUUUAGAAGAGCUAGAAUUCUAGUCUUGUGUCAGGACCUACGGGGGAUAUUCUCAUGUAGAAAGUUUCUAUGGGGUGUAAGCCUCCCAAGAAGAAAUGGAGACGUGCAAAUGUUCCUUGAGUCAGAUAGAGAUUGGCUCUCGAGUGCAAAGGCAGAAGGGUGUUUGACUGCAAGACCCAUCCAUCAAGCAGGAACUAAAGUCGAUCUUGAUUCGAUGGUACUAAGUGGAAGGGCCUUUGCUUGACAAAUAAAAGUUACUCUAGGGAUAACAGGCUGAUCAUCCCCAAGAGCUCACAUCGACAGGAUGAUUUGGUAUCUUGAUAUUGACUCUUUGCCACUUGAGGCUGCAUUAUGCUCCAAUGGUUGGGCUGUUCGUUGAUUAAAGCGGUACGUGAGCUAGGUUCUGAACGUUGUGAGACAAUUUGGUCCAUAUCUAGCUUUAGAAUUAGAGCGUUGAGAGGACGAUGCAUACAUAGGAUCCAGAUUCAAGUUCAAGUCAUGCAAGUGAAGGAUCCAUUUAAGUUCAUCAAAUCCGCCCUUCCUUGGUUCAAUUUUCAUUAGUUUUUAGUCAUUUAUGUUAGUCUAGUUCUUGGUGUUGUUUGUGCCAUUAAUUCUAGCAAUGGUGCAUGGUGUUCUAAGUCAAGAAAUCAAGGGUUGAUGGUCAAGAAUCCAUGGCCGGAUUCGCUACUCAUUCUAUGGCUGAAUU